GAGUCUUGCUUUUCAUGUGUGUCAGGGUA
rnacentral:piRNA from 1 species